CACACACACACGUAAAUAUAUAUGUGUAUAUUUAUUUAUUUAUUUCAGUUGUUUAAGUCCUUUUACCCAAAUAGUAAAGAACAUACUACUUUACACCUUGCUUUUUUUUUUUACUUAAAAUUAUGAGGUAAGUAUAUAUAAAUAUGAAAUUUCAUGAGUUUGGCUUGAUUUGGAAUAUUGGUUUUCUUCAAGGCUAGCAAAUAGACAUUUUGGAUAGGUAAGAAUAUAUAUAUAUAGAUAUACUCACAAUAUAUAUAUUUACAGUACUUUAUAUAUACAAUAUUUAUAUAUAUAUAAUUUACUAUAGUAAAUUAUCCUUUUCCAGUGAAGAAAACCUUGUUUUAUAAAAAGGAAGGGAAUGAGGGGAGAAAUGCAUAUUGCAAAGUACAAAAGGCUAUUUUUAAACAGUUUAUAUAGAAAGGUCACAGAGAAUAACUCAAAAAUAUUUGAAUUGUAGCACUGAUACGUUAAAAUGGAACUUCAGAUUCAUUUGUAUCCUUUCCAUUUGGAGGUUUAGGUUAGCAAACCAAAUGACCCAUCCAGUGAAUUUGUCAAUAUAGAUAGAUCAUUCAGCUCUUCAGGGUUUGUAGACUUAAUAUUAAUCACACAGUCAUGGACAGCUGGGCCCAGGUGAAGCUACCAUGAUGUAUAUGUAUUCAUCCUUACACAUUACAUACUUGAUAAACCAUAUUUUAGUUUAUUUCUUCACAUUUCAUUGUGAAAACCUUCUAAUUCAUACCUUCAAUUAUUUAAAAGCCUUUAAAAGACCUAUGUAACAAACCUGUAUGUUCUGCACAUGUAUCCCAGAACUUAAAGUAAAAUUUAAGAAAUUAAAAUUAAAUUUUAAAAAACACUUCAAGGUUAAAAAAUAUAUAUGAGCUCCUGUUACUGUUAAUGUAUAUUGGGUUUAAUAUUCUUUUAUACAGAAUUAUGAUGCUUUCUGUUUUGCGUAACACCAAAACACCAGUGAAAUUCUGGUUGCUAAAAAAUUAUCUCUCACCGACAUUUAAAGAAGUAAUUCCUCACAUGGCUAAAGAGUAUGGAUUCCGAUAUGAACUAGUUCAAUAUAGGUGGCCCCGUUGGCUUCGUCAACAGACUGAAAGACAGAGGAUUAUUUGGGGUUACAAAAUUCUUUUCCUUGAUGUUCUUUUCCCACUAGCAGUGGACAAAAUCAUUUUUGUUGAUGCUGACCAGAUUGUGAGACAUGAUCUAAAAGAACUUCGAGAUUUCGAUCUGGAUGGAGCUCCUUAUGGGUAUACUCCAUUUUGUGAUAGCCGCAGGGAAAUGGAUGGAUAUCGUUUCUGGAAAACAGGAUACUGGGCAUCACAUCUUUUAAGACGGAAAUACCAUAUCAGUGCUUUAUAUGUAGUGGAUCUCAAGAAGUUCAGGAGAAUUGGAGCAGGUGACAGGCUCAGGAGCCAGUAUCAAGCUCUCAGUCAAGAUCCAAACAGUCUUUCAAACCUAGAUCAGGAUCUCCCCAAUAAUAUGAUUUACCAAGUCGCCAUUAAGUCUCUUCCUCAAGACUGGCUGUGGUGUGAAACCUGGUGUGAUGAUGAAUCCAAACAAAGAGCCAAAACAAUUGAUCUGUGCAAUAAUCCC
rnacentral:lncRNA from 1 species